rnacentral:rRNA from 1 species
GGUGAAGUUACUAAGGGCAUACGGUGGAUGCCUUGGCACCAUAAGGCGAUGAAGGACGUGGCUACCUGCGAUAAGCUUCGGUGAGGUGGAAAACAACCUUAGACCCGAAGAUUUCCGAAUGGGAAAACCCUCCAGAGGU